rnacentral:rRNA from 1 species
UACGAAGGGGGCAAGCGUUGUUCGGAUUUACUGGGCGUAAAGGGCGCGCAGGCGGCUGUUCAAGUCGGGUGUGAAAGCCCCGGGCUCAACCUGGGAACUGCACUCGAGACUGGACGGCUGGAGUUCGGGAGAGGAUGGUGGAAUUCCCAGUGUAGAGGUGAAAUUCGUAGAUAUUGGGAAGAACACCGGUGGCGAAGGCGGCCAUCUGGACCGACACUGACGCUGAGGCGCGAAAGCGUGGGGAGCAAAC